rnacentral:rRNA from 1 species
GACGGAGGAUGCAAGCGUUAUCCGGAAUUAUUGGGCGUAAAGCGUUCGCAGGUGGCUGUUCAAGUCUGCUGUCAAAGACCGGGGCUUAACCCCAGAAAGGCAGUGGAAACUGAACGGCUGGAGUGCAGUAUGGGUAGAGGGAAUUCCCAGUGUAGCGGUGAAAUGCGUAGAGAUUGGUAAGAACACCGGUGGCGAAAGCGCUCUGCUGGACUGCAACUGACCCUGAGGGACGAAAGCUAGGGGAGCGAAAGGG